UACCAGUGAGGAAGACAAAUAUCUUGUCUUAGGCUCCUUGUUCUCUCACCCCAGAACCAGUAAUGGUGAACCCACUGGGGCUAACUGGGAGAGAGAAUGAGAACUUGUUCCAUAAGGAACUGUCUGAGAUAC